GAUGAACGCUGGCGGCGUGCUUAACACAUGCGAGUCGAACGGAAAGGCUCCUGCUUGCAGGGGUACUCGAGUGGCGAACGGGUGAGUAACACGUGGGUGAUCUGCCCUGCACUUCGGGAUAAGCCUGGGAAACUGGGUCUAAUACCGGAUAGGACCACAUUUUGGAUGGUGUGGUGGAAAGUUUUUCGGUGUGGGAUGGGCUCGCGGCCUAUCAGCUUGUUGGUGGGGUAAUGGCCUACCAAGGCGUCGACGGGUAGCCGGCCUGAGAGGGUGUACGGCCACAUUGGGACUGAGAUACGGCCCAGACUCCUACGGGAGGCAGCAGUGGGGAAUAUUGCACAAUGGGCGCAAGCCUGAUGCAGCGACGCCGCGUGGGGGAUGACGGCCUUCGGGUUGUAAACUCCUUUCGCUAGGGACGAAGCGCAAGUGACGGUACCUGGAGAAGAAGCACCGGCUAACUACGUG
rnacentral:rRNA from 1 species